GGAGAUGUAGUACAGAUGGUAAAACGUUUGAUUAGCAUACGAAAGAUCAUGGGUUUGAUCCCUCAUGUCUUCA